ACAGGAGCCCAGAGAGGAUUUCCAGCUGAUCUAAUGUCUAGUAUGUGACCUUGGGUGCCAAGGUGGAUUAAGUCAUUUUAUCACCAGAAUUCCUCUUUUAAAAAAAAACUGCAACCGGAAUCCUGACUGUUAGGGAACCUGCCCCAUAAGCACCAUCUUUGUUAAUGGCGAAAACCCUAAACAGGAAGUGUUGACACCAUCUUUGUUGAGGGCAAGUACAGGAAGUGCUGUCGCCAUUUUUAUUGA
rnacentral:lncRNA from 1 species